GUAGGUGGCAAGCGUUGUCCGGAAUUAUUGGGGCGUAAAGCGCGCGCAGGCGGUUCUUUAAGUCUGAUGUGAAAGCCCACGGGCUCAACCGUGGAGGGUCAUUGGAAACUGGAGAACUUGAGACAGAAGAGGAAAGCGGAAUUCCACGUGUAGCGGUGAAAUGCGUAGAGAUGUGGAGGAACACCAGUGGCGAAGGCGGCUUUCUGGUCUGUAACUGACGCUGAGGCGCGAAAGCGUGGGGAGCAAACAGGAUUAGAUACCCUGGUAGUCCACGCCGUAAACGAUGAGUGCUAAGUGUUAGGGGGUUUCCGCCCCUUAGUGCUGCAGCUAACGCAUUAAGCACUCCGCCUGGGGAGUACGGCCGCAAAGGCUG
rnacentral:rRNA from 1 species